AUUAGAAUAAAGAAUUUAGAAUACAGAAAUGUCGACCUGAGAAGAGAACAUUAUACAAAAGCUGGAUUUAAAAUAUUGCCCUAGAAUUGGAUUUUCCUUCAGUCACAAAGUCUAGAUUUCACGCUACAUUUACAUUUAACCAUUUAGACAGUGCUGUCCCUUGCUCAUGUUUCUUCAGAGCUGUGGUCAUGUUAAAUGAGGUUCAAGCAUAGCAGCAUCUUCAGUCUCAUGAACUUCUGAGGAAUUCUCAGAGACUUUGGAAGAAUUCCAAGUGUGAGGUCUGCAAAAAGGUUCAUUCUUCCUAAAAGCCAGCAAGAGUUCCAUGAACACCAGAACAUUCUGGAGCUGAGAGUCCUAAAGAAUUCCCACCAGCAACUCCCAACACUCAGAAUAAUACAUCAAGUCAAGUGUAGCCUGACCAAUAGACAAUCAGCCUCUACCCCCUACUCCCUCCCACACUCACACUCACACACACACACACACACACACACACAAACACACAGGUACAGUUUCGGUUUUUAGUUUUCAUGUGCUUUAUUAGCAUGACAAAUAAUUGUACAUUUGUAUUGCCAAAGCAUACACAAACAAAGCAAAGCACCAUACUCGGAGGAUCACACCCCUAUAUCAUCCACAAACUGUGGGGAACUGAUGGUGUGUGUGUGUGUGUGUCCUGGUCAAUAGGAGGAUUAUGCUAGAGAUUUAACUCUAGCAACAGAGGGUGUCCAGUCAUAACAAGUGCUAUAAUCUGCUUCUCUGGUUGGCUAAUGGUUUAUAAACAAUGGUGGAGCUACACAUGUUGGUCUUCUGAGUGUUACAAGUGAAAAAAGUCAUCAAUUAAUUAAAGAGAAGGCUACCUACACAGGUACCCGGGGACAGAUAUUUCAAAUUUGUGCUGCGGUCAGGGAAAACCCUUAAAUAAACUAGUUAAAUAACCUGAGUCAUCGUUUAGUUAUGUGGUAGCCUCAGCAGCCUGUGUGUGGGAUACAGAGCAGACAUGAGCCUGGACAAUUUGCUCAAUAGAACCACAGAGACAGCAGACAAAUAAAUGCAAGCAUAAUCACAACACAGCUUACUGGCGACAGGGCACAAAUUCUGUCAGACCGCAAAGCACAUGCUCACUUCUCAAUAUCAGAUAUUUAAUUUAACUUGUAUCUCUAAGUGACUUUCAAAUGCUCACCUUAACUGCUCAUUAGUCUCAGUCCCCAUGCUUAUAAACAAGAGUUAAAUUAAGGCAUAAUAGUGAUAAAGCAAUUAUAUAUGUUCAUAACGAUUUAUAUUUUCAUGUCAUUUUAAUGGCAAAACUGCUGAAAAUGUAAGGUCUGUUCACAGGGGUUACUGAUAUAAACAGACUAUUAGGGCUAAGCCUCUAGGUCUUUCAAUCAUAAAAAGACAUCAGGUUUCAUUUCUGACAUCCACAUCAGAAUGUUAACAAAUGUCUUCCAUCCUUUCAUCCAUUUUCUGUACUGCUUAUCCUGCACAAGGUCAUGGGACGCCUGGAGCCUAUGCCAGGGGACUCGGGGCACGAGGCGGGGGACACCCUGGACAGGGUGCCAACUCAUCACAGGGCACAAUCACACACACUCAUACACUACAGACAAUUUGGAAAUGGCAAUCAGCCUACAAUGCAUGUCUUCGGACUGGGAGAGGGAACAAGAGUACCCGGAGGAAACCCCCAAAUCACUGGGAGAACAUGCAAGUGCCGCGCACACAGGACAGAGGCGGGAAUCAAACCCCCAACCAUGGAGGUUUGAGGCAAACAUGCUAGCAAAUGUCUUAAAACUGAUUCUUUUUCACUUUAAUGGAACCUAGCACAACACAGUGGUCUGAAGAAGUGAGGCUGGGGCUGACUUCUUUCUAGCCCAGAUUGUAGAUUCAUGCAGUCUAUCAGUAUCAGGUGAUUACACAGUGUGACACACCCUCUAGUGUUGAUCUCCAUUUAGGCUGAAAUUUAACAGCUGGCAUCACUGACACAUCUGUAACAAGACAUCAGCAGUUAUUGAGAAACUGCAUGGAAAUACAAUCGAAUGUGUAAUGAUCGAGAACGAGAUGGAUUAUUUACUCUAUUGUUUUCUAUUGCCCCCAAAACACCUAGUAGAAACCUUAAGAUUGUCCAAUAAAAGUACAAAUGUGUGCAAGUAUGUGUACAAUAGUUGCUCAGUCCUUGAUAGGGAUUCUAUUAUAUCCCUUCCAUCUAAUAUCACGACUAGCCAUCAAUUUCUGUUCACCAAUCACAUUUCUCUGAUAUCAAUGUUAGAGACAUCCAUAUAAUCAUUUUGGAGAAACUAGCCCGGGAUAUCGCAUUUGCUGAAGGCCCAGACUUCAUUCUGGCAAACUUUAGGAUCACAAUGUUUACGUGAGACUGUGGAGGAGUGUAUGCGAGGACUGAGUCAUCAUCCAAAGUAGCAGAUUAGCACAAGUCUGCCUAACCCAAGGAUAUAUGACUAUAAAAGAGAUGCAGAAAGAGCAGACGAGCAAGAAAGAGAAAGAAUGUUUCUAAGGUCAUGUCCCUCUGAGGUUUGAGGUCUCCUUCAUAUUGUGUCUUUUUCUAGACAGGUUAUGGAGGUUAAACAACACAUGGCCCAUUAGCAGAGAAAAACACAAAUGUGUUAGUUCAAACAGAAUCUCUCAGUCAGUCAUGAUAUUUCUUAGAUAAAAUACAAGGUAUUAUUGAGACGGUUCUACUUAAAAUGCUGGGGGGAAAUGGCGGGGAAGCACUCUACUGCAACGUGUGAAUGUGGCAGCAUCUUAAAUCCUGUGAGGACAGACCUUCACUACUGCUCUCGUGAUGUGACAGGUGCCAGAGCACCUAAGGACAGCUCGAGAGGAACAACAAAAACAUGAUGGUUCAUUUAUAUUUAGUAAAUGUUAUUUACUAUUUACUAUUUACUAUUACAGAUCUAUAAUCGUAGCUAUGAUUUGAGUUAAAAAAAAAAAGGAGUACAUGCUACAGUUGAGGUGUCCAGAAACUGGGUGGUCCUUGAGGUGUUUAUAUACACAAUAAUUUUCUUUUCGGUGUUGUCCAUAUGCUCUAAAUAUCAUUUUACAGUUAAUACACAGUGCCAUGACUGCAAUGAUAAUCAUUAACAGUCCUUAAAUCUACUGCAUUUUGACUUUCAUGUCAUAUCCUAUACAUUAAACAACCUUAAACAACUUCAAACUGAAAGGUUCUCCACGUCUCAUUCUCAAAAAUAUAUCCUAACAUUUAAAAGUACAUCUAAAAUUAAUGCAGAGAUAUAUUAUGUUUGGAUAUUACUAUAAAAGAUACUUUACCCCCAAGACAUUACUAUUACACCAAGCAUGCAGUCAAUGUGAUGAAAUACCUGCUCAGUUGAAUGAGUCAAUCAGUUCCUCCAAACAAGUUGGUUUUAAUGUGCAUAGAGAUGUACUUUAAAGAAGUUACUGCCCUUUACUGGAUUACUCUGUUCCCAAAAAUACCCACCAAAACAAUGGGCUCACACAGAGCAGCCAAUCCUGUGGACCCACUGCACUCACCUAGGCAAUGGAACCAACCAUUUCUCUAAUACACAGGGGGGUUAGUAAAUUUAUCUAAAUAAUGUUCCUUCUGUAUUCCAUUUGCACUCCUGUAGCUUUCAGGGGGAAAUGCUAGUCAUGUUUGCUUCACAGGAUAUAGCGAGAAUUACAUUAUGCUUAAAGAAUACACAAUGUCAUGUUUCUCCUUGAGUAAUUAAAUUUCACUGAUUUCCCCUACACUGAGGUUUGUCCAGCUUUGCAGGUUGUAAUUGGAUUCUGAGUGAAGGCAUGAGUAGCCAGAUCGCACAAAGGCUGAAACCUCUCUGUGUAAUAAGUUAAUAAGAAUAGUAAGUUAUUACAUUGGUAUAGAGUAAUCUGAAAUGGUAAUACUCUUGGAUCCUAUUUAAAGUGGCUAAAUGAAAUGUGCAAUCUGAUCAUCUGUGUGUGCAGUUAGUGGAUGUGGUGCUUAACACCUCGCACAUCUGAAAACCAUGCUGGUAGGUGUACUGGUUACACUAAAUUGCCCCCUAGGUGUGAAUGUGUGCACGUGGUGCCGUACAAUGGACUGUGAAUCUAUCCUAGGUGUAUAUACCCGCUCAUUCAGUUUCAGUAAGCCCUUUAUCCUGGUCAAGGUCACGGCGUAUCUUGAGUCUAUCCCUGAAACACUGGGAGUAAGGCAGAAAUACACCGUGGACGG